rnacentral:rRNA from 1 species
AUUGAACGCUGGCGGCAGGCCUAACACAUGCGAGUCGAGCGGAUGAAGGGAGCUUGCUCCUGGAUUCAGCGGCGGACGGGUGAGUAAUGCCUAGGAAUCUGCCUGGUCGUGGGGGAUAACGUCCGGAAACGGGCGCUAAUACCGCAUACGUCCUGAGGGAGAAAGUGGGGGAUCUUCGGACCUCACGCUAUCAGAUGAGCCUAGGUCGGAUUAGCUAGUUGGUGGGGUAAAGGCCUACCAAGGCGACGAUCCGUAACUGGUCUGAGAGGAUGAUCAGUCACACUGGAACUGAGACACGGUACAGACUCCUACGGGAGGCAGCAGUGGGGAAUAUUGGACAAUGGGCGAAAGCCUGAUCCAGCCAUGCCGCGUGUGUGAAGAAGGUCUUCGGAUUGUAAAGCACUUUAAGUUGGGAGGAAGGACAGUAAGUUAAUACCUGGCUGUUUUGACGGUACCAACAGAAUAAGCACCGGCUAACUUCGUG